UGAGCCCCGGGGCAGCGCGGCCCCGAUCCCGCAGAGCCGCCGGGCGGGCAGGGCCGGGCAGGGCAGGACGCGCCGCCCCCGCUGCCCGCAGCUCCCGCCCCGCUGCCCAGCCGGGCUCUCCUUCCGUCUCCCAUCGGGGCCGGCACUCGGGGCUCCGGACGAGUCGCUGCCUGGGCUCGGGUAUGACAGUGCAGGGAGAUGCGGUUGAAAGAUACUAAAAACACCUAAAACAACAACAAACGAGGAAAUCCCUCCCUCUUCCUCUCCCUCGAAGAGGAACAAAACUGACAAGAGAAAGUAAUCGCUGUCAGGGUUGAAGACUGGCUGCUUCGAGUGUCCUGUGUUUAAAUUCUGCGAUGAAAGUCCAGCGUUAGUGAUUUUUGUGCUUCAGCCUCUCAUAGGCAUCACAAGAUGUGCGGGUCCUCUUUCUUGCUCUUCCUGAAAACUGGGGCAACGUUCACCAGUUUCCAGUCAGCUGAGACUUCUCCAGACUCCCAAGAUCAUUUAAAAACCAUCAAGAGAGACUUUGUGAUGACAUCAGCAGCUCUUUAAAGACUAUUGGAUGACUCCCAUCAGGAUUUGUCAGAAGUCAAUAGGAAAUACCCAGUGCAAUGUUAGCAGCCUGAAAGGUUUACCUUGGAUGCUAAAGUCUGUUUUCUUUGCUAAGAUUCCUGCAUCACUCAUUUUGGUUUUGCCUGAAGAAAAAGAAAACAAGAAAAGAUGGACUGGAACGUAAGGCCAGUCCAGAAUGCUGAUGCAAAUACAAACCUGCAAAGUGAAGGAGCAUGUUUCACUCAGUUACUUCCUAAUGGACAUGGCUUUCCUCAGACAAAUCCCAACUCCUCUAAAAAUACAUGCACUCAUGCUGAAAAUAACCAAAUCGUGUAUAUGCCAACUAUCAAUGUUGCCUUCCCUGCUGUAAAUGCCGAAGGAUUCAAAACUUCAGAUCAAACCUCACCAGGAGCAUCUGUAACUGGUAAUAAUUUCUUUAUGUCAAAAUUCUCAGUUAAAAGACAUCAGCCGAUGUAUGGAACAGGUCUGAAACCUCCCCUUCAGAAUUCCCCUUUGCGGCCAGAGAUGACUCCGACUUCUUGGCCAGUGUCUAAUCCCUACAGUUAUCCCUGCAGGAAUGUGCCCCCCCUGUCCUCCCAAGUGAACACAGGGAAUAAUUUAAGAAAUGUGCUUGGGGAGCCCCAGUACACCAACACCAACGCUUACACGGCGCAGCCAGAAAUGCUGCAGCAUAAUUCCCUGAGACUUGCAACACUACAUCAAGGUGGCAUUCAUCCCCAGAAUAAUUCUUUUCCUCUCCCUACUUCCGGGCAACAUGUUCAACCCCAAAUGUUUAAUUCCAAUAAUCAGUGUAAAGUUUUGUAUUCGGUGAAUCAAAAUACUGGGACAACUGUACAGCUGCCACAAUUUCAGCAGAGUCAGAUGGCAUCAGAAGCUCCUAGAGGAUGUUCUGCACCAUCUUUGUUGCCUGCCAGCUGUGUUUCAAGGCCUGCAGCACAAUCUUCAAUGGGUGUACCACAGGAAAUUCAAAAUGUACCCAAUGGAUACAACAUUACCCAGCAGAGGUUCCCACUGGACCCAAAAAAUGCUCCUGGGUUUAACAGUAUUCAGCAACACUGUCAGAAGCAGCAACCUGGAGAAGUCAGUCAAUCCAUCAGGAAUGUCUGUAAUCCAAGUGGAAGUGUGACAGUAAAUCGGUCUUUUAGUGAAAGUUCUGUGUCAUCCCCUGGCAUUCCCAAAGAACUGCUUGAUGUUGUGAAAGAAAUAGAAGCUCUUUCUUCAAAGCCUCUGAGUGAUCCUGCUUCAGUUCCGGAGAGCCAGACUAGUGGUUUGAUAAAUGGGCCUAUUAAUGCUCAGAUUUCCUCAGCAGCAGCAACACAUGGAGGAAUUACAAAGGAGAGACUAGCUUGGGAAGCUGAAAAGCUGAAAUGUCUUAAAAAAAGGGUUGUCCUGCUUGAAACGGUUCAUAAUUAUAAAAAAAAAAUCUAUAAUGAAAAAAAUACUCGUUCUCUUCCUCCUGGUUAUCCAUGUUCUCCUUCUAAUUGUCUUCCAUGUAUGCCCAAACAAAAUGUACAGCCUCCCCCAUCUGAAGCAGUGAGGACAGAGAGGCCCACAUUCAUGGUUCCACAUGAAGAAAGAAAUGACAAAAACCUAGCCAGUGCUGAUAACAGAAGAUUGGAGGUGACUCAAAGUAGCCCUCAGGUGAAGCAGGGAAGUCUUUCAUCAAGCUUCACUCCUGUUCCCUCUCAGAGUAAAGUCCCAGCUCAAUUUAAUAAUCCUGAGAGCACCUUGGAACAAAGGGAUGUGCAUGCCUUGGCCUCUUCUCCAGGAACUGUGACUUCCUCGAACAGUGCUUCGUGUUUUACUCCAGCAGGGAGCUCUGUCAGGGCUGCAUCAAAGACUCUGCAAAUUGGCCCUGAGAACUCAUCAUUUCUUCAGUUUGUAUUGAGCAGCACAAAUGCACUGAAAGAGAAGACAGCUGGUGCUACUGCUGAUAAAAUACUGACAAAUCUCCUGUGUAGUGAAAAACCGCUGCUUGAUACGUCUGUCUCGGGUGGAAGCUUGCUAAAAGACACCAGUGAGAAGAACAUAGAAGGUCUGAAAGGUGAGCAGGCAUCUGUGGCUCACACAAACUCUGCUGCAUCACAAACAGCUGCAUCUGGUGAUGCUCAGUUGCAGACUGAGGUAGCUCAGAAAAAACCACCAUUUACUGAAAAUGCAUCUUGUAGCCAGAGCAAUUGUAGUUACUCUAUGGAAGAGGUGGUUGCGUGCCUGCGCCUGUGGGGGAAGUAUCCACCAGAAUCUGUUAGUGUGGAAAAUAAACAGUCAAAUGAAAACCUCACAGCAAAUCAGAUUUCACCCUCUGACCAAAACACAAAGAAGGGAGAAAAAAAUCAUGUGCUGGAAAGCAUGGAUGAGGCUGUUUUGCCUGUAACAACUACCUCUGUGGGACAAAAGCUUGAUACACUGACUUCCAGUUUGAUAAAAAAUUUCGAACCUCAAGUUGCAGUUGUCUCUCCUUUAGUACUUAGUGAACAAAGAGCACUAAGUGAGCAGGCAGGCAAGAUCCCAACACCUGAAGGUAAAACCUAUCCAGUGAUCAACUCGGGGAGCACGUGUAGCUUGCAAGAAGAGGGGGAAAAUGGUUUAAGUGUGGCAAGUACUGUCAAAAGAACUGUAGAAAACGGUUGGUCAUCACCCACUGAUUGUGUUCUGGAACAAAUAGUGGACUCACAUUUGCAACAGAUCAAAGCAGGUGAUGAAAACCAAAGCAAAGUUAGCCAAUCUGCACAAGAUGCAAGAAAAAAUCUGCAGCUUGGAUUACAAAACAAGGCUCCUCUUCCUGAAUCAGGCACAAAUAUUUGUAGUCAAAUCUCUCAAGAAGGUACAAGAGACCAUGAAGACAAGCAAGCUGUGUUAGAGGCAGGGGAUGCAUCCACAGCUCUGCUGGAAAAUGACAUGUUUUGUAUUUCUAGUGUAUGCUCUCUUGUUGAAGGUGAUAAAUUUUAUAACCCACAAAUAGCAGGCAUGUUCAAGUCAGUCUAUGAGACACAGGCAUCAGAAGGAAACACAUCUGGUGCAAGGCAAAAGGAGCAACAUCUGGACUUGAGUAAAACUGAGCUGAGCAAUAACACUGCCCAAAGAGAGAGCUUGCUGCUAAAAAUGUUGGAAGAGUCAUCAAGUCAUUCGGAGAAGGAAAGCAGUGGCAAUCCUCCUAAAGCAGUUUCUACCUCUGAACAAAGCACGUCAUUCAAGGCAUCUGCCAAGCAUCCUGAAAAUUCCCUAGAAAGUCUUGCUAAGAUAAAUCAGAAGUUAGCUCAAAAUUCACUGGAUUCCUCUAUCAGCAUAACUGCUAAAACAAAUGCACCUGCUGUUUCAGGAGACCACAGUAAACAAAAUUCCAUGCCCAGUAAAAAUAGCAUGGAAAAGGAGGUGAACUUUUUUGGAGCAAAGCCUAGCAAAUAUCUAAAAGAUCAGCUGCUUGCUCUAGUGAAGGAGUUUCCAUAUGGCAUUGAAGGUGCUGAUAUGCUAACAAAAGAAGCAGCACAAAAUCGUUCAGCAGCUGAAGGGACAGAGAACCAGUCUCAAAAAGAGGUUAAAAUUUGUGACAAGAAUUCUCAUUUGAAGGACCCAGUAAAUCAGACUAAAGUUGCAGUGUUAAGAUCUGAACAGGUUCAAGAACUGUCUCCUGGGCACAACCAGUGUCCCUCUAGUGACAGCAAGAGAGAAGUGAGUCAGCAGUCAGAAAAGGCUUCAGCUGACAAGGACAAGCUUGAAGGCAGUGUCCAGCCUAGUCAGGAUCUAUGUGAGAAGGAAAAAACCCCACAAGAAACUUCUAAGCCCAGUGAAAAAAGUGAAGAUUGCUCUUUAACGGGUGGUCCAUCUGUAGCAUAUAAAACAUCACAUUAUCCCUCUCAAUUAGAAACAUCUGGUUCAGAGAAAAAUGGUUGUCAACUUUCAAAAGCUGAAAAUACUGACUCUGCAGAGACAGAAGAAAAAUCCAGUCAAUCUGAUGCCUUGAAAAAGGAAAACUGUGCAGUGGGAGGAGACCUGACAAUUUCUGAAAAAAUCCCAGACAGUAUUAGCAAAAAUAAAGAUAUUUGCAAAUACACUUCUGAAAUGAACAAAAAACCUAGGCUGAAGGUGGAUAAUGAAUACAAACUGCCUACAACACAGCAGGAAAAAACUGGACCAGUUAAUUCCUUUGAAAACCAGGAUGCUGAUAAAUGCAAAAGCAGCAGUUUGAAGGAAAAUCUGCAAAUUGACAAAGGAACCCAAGUGUCAAGUAAAGAAUUGAAUUCUUUCAAAAAAGAGCACCAGACAGCCUCCGAAGAGUUAGCAGAAAAAGCUGAUCAUACAUAUGCAGACAACAGGGCAAAGUUGUCCGUAAAGAAGGAGAGAGUUUUCAAAACUGAGUCCCUUUCAAAAGAUACAACCAAACCAGGUCUGACCAUAAAAUCCAAAACAGACAUUCUCCAGUCUGUGAAGUCAGAAAUGGUUGAAAUUAAGCAUUCUGAAGUCAGUCAAGGACAAAAAAUUAAAACUUGUGAAGAGAACUCAGCUGAAGAACAAAACUGUAGGGAACAAAAGGAGGUGCUUAGGCAAGAUGUAGGAAUUAGCGUCAAAGUGCAAACAAAAUUACCAGCAGAAAUGAAACUCAAAAAAUUGAGUAGUUACCGAGCCGAUGCUGUAAAAUUCUCAGAUAGUAGCUCUGUAGACUUCAAAUCAAGACACACAAAAUAUUCUCAGCAUAAAUCUGUGAAAGUUCAUCCUUUGCAAGAGCAGCCAUACAAACGGAAGAUGAAGGAAAAUAUGGUUGGGAAGAGAGAAUUUAAGAAAGCAAAGCUGGAAGAGGAAGGAUUGAAACAAUCCGAAGGAAAGAGUUCUAAGCAGCUUGCACACAAUUGUUUGCUAAAUGCUGACAAAGCUAAAAAACUGAAUGGAGAAAAUGGUUGGAAACCAAGGAGUUCCUUAGCAGAUUGCUCUGUGCUUAAACUGCAGAGAAAAAGGGCUCGAUCUUCUAGCAUGUCUAAAAACUUCUUUUCUAGCAAAGAAAGACAUCUUGAUGGUCAAAACAAAGACAAGUGCUCUGAGAAAAUGUUUCCUGAUAAAAAUCUUCUAUACCUAAACAGAAGAAAUAGACUAAAGCUGCAUCUUCAAAAGGAACCCAAAAAGCACUACCUGAACAGAGUGGCAUUUAAACGUACGGCACAGGAGCGCAUCUGUCUGACAAAAUUAGAGACAUCGCCUGUCAGACCUGUCUGGCAUAGAGCCACCAAAGUGCCACAAAGCAGCAACUCAAAAAAAGAUGUGUCUGUCUCGACAGUUGAGAAAUCAUGCAAACAGGAAGUCCUUGAGUUCAAGCUGUGUCCAGAGAUAGAGUUCAGGAAUCCAGCCCCUGGUGAAGAAAGCUUAGCUGCAAAGAAUUCUCCAGAAAGAGAUAAAGUCGUUGUAGAAGGUGUCAAGAGUAAAAAAGAAGAUUGGUUAAAAUGUGAACCAGUGAAACAAAAGAAACUGGAAGAGAUCUCUGCAGUGCAUCAGUCACAGCAGCUCAGCUGGGCCAAGCUUGGUAUCACACAUACAUCAGUGGUUUUUAGGCAGGGACAGAAUCUGACCCUUUAACAGAAGAAAAUUCCAUGAUGUAAAAUCUCUUGGUACUUAUGGAUUAAGAAUUACCAUGACUUUUAAUCAACUGUUCAGUACAGGGUCCAUAUGGCAGAAAAGAAGACCUGUGGUCUUUGAUCUUAUUUGAGUUUCAUCAAAGAGAAGGAAACAUAUGAUCAAGACUACUCUGAACUGUAAUUAAACGUUGUCCUCCUGUUGACCCAGUUAUCAAGAGCUACUUCUUCAUGUGAGCUGGAAAAAUCAAAGUAAGGGACUCCAUGAGCAAAUUUUUCCAGACCAGGCUAUAAAGGCAGCUGCAAGGAGUGGCAGAAUAACUGCUGGGAAUGGGAGGUCUGUCUGAGAACUCCUCUGAUGCUGCAACCAGAAAAUCCUGAAGACAGGGGAUCGAUUUGUUCACAACGAGUCCUUGCUGGCUUUGGCACAUUUCAUUAUACAGAGUGAACAAUAAUUGGUCUCAUUGGUAUAUAGCUCUUUUAUAUGUGUUUUUAAGGAUGGAGAUACAUCACAUGUGUAUUUUAUCAGUACUCUGUCAGCACAUGGCAGCUGAACCCAGCAGCAAUGACAGAAUUAUUUAGAUUAGGGUUUAUAUAUAGAUAUGCUGUGAAUUUUCACUUUAUUAAUGGCUUUGCAGGACUCCUUGUCUUCUAUGCAGUAUAAAUAUGAAAUUAAAUCACGUAAAGAAAUGUAGCUUUUGUUGUAUGCCUUCAUAGUAUCAGUGGUAGGGUGGCAGGAGAAACCUGAGGAAAGCAGAGAAUGUAAAAGGGGAAUGGAGAGAGGAUAAAAAGAAGAGGAAUAUGCAGAACAGAGUGUUGAAGGUGGAUUUAAGAAAAACAAAGCUACUUAAAGACCAAAAAAAAUUGUUUUGACUCCCAGGGAACCAAUUGAAGCUUCUUGGGAACUACUGACAUAUAAAUCUGUGAGGAAGAACAGGGAGCAGAAAUGUAGAACAUCCAUGUCUGUGGCAAAUAAUUCUUGUAGUAGGCACGAGCUGGUCCUGCCUGCUGCUCCCUGCUGUUCAGAAAUGUCUGCAAGUGAUGCAGUGGGAAGUGCAGGAACACAUCUGGAAUGUACCACAGGAACCUGCCCUGGCCAUUUGAGAGACCAAACACCCUGGGCACUGCACAGCUCUGCUGUCCCUGCAGCUGUGUCAGCGUGGAGCUGUGUUAGUGGUUAAGAUGAUGAAAUAGUCUGCGGAGCAGGUAAAUGUGAUUUUCCACAUGUAUUGGCAGGUCUGCAACAUUCAGCAUGAAGGAUUGUUUAGAGACAUACUCUUUUAUUCCAGAUCUCAUUCCUAACUCAAGGAAUAAGCACCAUUAAUUCAGAGGCAUUCACUGAAAACAUCAGAGAAUGUGAUGUGCAGAAAAUGAAACAAAAGGCUGCAGAGACCUUUAUCUUUGAAGGGUUUCUUUAAAUUCCCACUGACAGUCAGUACCUCACGCUCCAAAGAUUGAAGCAUUUGUUCAUGUAGAGGUUAACUGCAGUCAGAGGAAGCAGUUUAGCCAUGCUCAGACUGAUCCAGAAUUGGGACAGCCUGUCAGUUUAGGUGGGAGGGUGUCUGGGGAGCUGUGCCUCGGGCACUGCCUGAUCCCAGUGUCCCAGCAUCCCCAUGCUCCCAGCUCCCUGAGCCAGCCUGGCAGCUGUGAUGCUGUGAUGCUGUGCACUGAAUAAGGUCAGGGAAGUAAUCCACCAGCAAAUUUUGGGCACCUGUAAUACAUUUUGCUUUUCUCUUUAAGCAGAUCACUGGUUAGAAGGAAAAUCAGGAGUCUCAGAGCAGCUAAUGUAACCUCUACCUACAUUUAUUGUAUCCAAUCAUUACAACCACAGCUUAUUAAUAGCAAUAAUUGAAAAGAAACUUUGCUUAAUAGUGAGGUUUCUUUUCCCCUUAGGCUGCCAACAGCUUUCCCAUAUAUAAUCUCAUUUUUCAACAUAAUUUCAUCUAUCAGGCUGGCUAUAAUAAGUUUUUACUUCAUUUUUUAGUGCUUAGUCACCCAAGUAAGUUUUCUUCUGAUAUUUUUGUUCAAGCUCCUCUAUCAAGACAGCAGAAUCUGGAGCACACAGAGACUCAGACUGAAGAGAGAGCUGCACAGGAGAGCAGGCAGCUGGCUUGUCAUCCCUAGCAGCUCCUUCCCUGACAUCCAUUUCCCAUGAGAAUGGCAGCAGCAAGGUACUGUUGGCCGUGUUUUCUGAAGGGAAAGGAAGGGAGGACCUGUUUCAGUGUGUGGUCAUAUCCCCAGACAUUACUGACAAGGAUCAGAUGGCAGAUUGCCAUCUCUGAGGACAAUUCCUUUCACCCUGGGUUCUAUCUCCAAUCCACUGACAAUUCUCAGCCAGUCACUGAAGCCUCACACAUUUCCCAUACACUUUCUGAUUUUGGUUUUUUUCUUAUUGUCAUAUUGACAAAGACAUCCUUCCAUCCCUCCUUCUCUUUCCCCUCUCCAGCCCUGAUUUUCUAGUUCACAUCUACCACAGGUGGAAGAGAAACACCAAUGUGGUACUGUCAAGCUCAACCUACUUAGUUCCCCAAGCAAGGGACAGGCUGCACAGGGAAAAACUGCACAUACAGGGCUCACACAUCGUCACCAUCAUAUUUUCUGAAAAAUCCCUUCGCCAGGAUUUCUUCUCCUGGGAAGGUGAGAAACCUCAGAGAAAAAUGAAAACAAUAAUUAUCUGAUUUGCUUCUCCUGUAUUUUGCUGCUUUGGAAUGUGGUUUGGAGAUUGUUUACCAACUGGUCAUUGUUUGAUUGGUUUCAUGUGAAUUGUUUUGACUUAAUGACCAAUCCCAGCCAGCUAUGUCGAGGCUCUGGAGAGUCACGAGUAUUUCAUUAUUAUCUUUUAGCCUUCUGUCUGUGUCCUUUCUCUAUUCUUUAGUGUAGCUUAGUAUAGCAUUCUUUAAUAUAGAUCAUAAAAUAAUAAAUUAGCCCUCUGAGAACACGGAGUCAGAAUCUCAAUUCCUCCUCCGUCUGGGGAACCCAGAAAAUACCACAACACAUCAGAAUUAUCUGGGGUCUUCACCAUGCACAGUGAGCAUGCACAGCCAGUCCUGGAGGAACAUGAAGUUGCUCUGCCCAAUCUGUCUCUGUGCUGGGCAAUGGGCAGCAGCACCUCAGUGCCAGCAUGUGAUGGUUCCACUUGGGGCAAUCUGCUUCCAUGAGAUGUUGGAUGUUUUCAGAGCAAUGAAAUCUGCACUACUCAGGGACUUCUGGCUGGAUGUCAACAUAGGCCACUAGCAAAUUUCUCCAUGAAACCACCUUCCCAGCAGUUUCAGAUACUGUUCUUCAGUGGCUUUUUGAUCCAUGGCCCAUUACAAGGCUCACCUCACUAUAUUUGUACUAUCCUACCAAUCACAGCUCAUGAUGCUCAGUAACUCAGCCCCCGAUCAAGGCAAAGUCAUGAUUCUCCUGUAAUAUCAGUAUUUAUAAACAAGUGUAUAAAUAAAUGUUUGUCUGUGGG